GUGUUCACUUCGGCAGCACAUAUAAUAAAAUUGGAAUGAUACAGAGAAGAUUAACAUGGCCCCUGCGCUAGGAUGACAUGCAAAGAAUGAUAGUCAUCUCUU